AAGGCACGAUCCCGGUGGUUUUUGGGAAUUCUCUCGAUCCCAAGGCACAGUUUGGGAGGUUUUCGGGAAUUUCACACCAUGGUUCAACUUCCAAGGCACAAUCCCGGUGGUUUUUAGGAAUUUCUCGACAUGGUCACACUCCAAGAGCCUCUUUUUUUAGGAAUUCUCUCUUUCCAAGGCACAGAUUGGGCGGGUUCAACUUCCAAGGCACAAAUUCCAAGGCACAAUCCCGGUGGGAUUUUCAGGAAUUUCACACCACAGUUCAACUUCCAAGACACAAAAUUCCAAGGCACAAUUCCAAGGCAGAAUCCCGGUGGUUUUCAGGAAUUCUCUCACUUCCAAGGCACAGUUUUGGGAGGUACAAUUCCAAGGCACAAUUCCAAGGCAGAAUCCCGGUGUGAUUUUCAGGAAUUUCACACCACAGUUCAACUUCCAAGACACAAAUUCCAAGGCAGAAUCCCGGUGGUUUUCAGGAAUUCUCUCACUUCC